rnacentral:rRNA from 1 species
CGGACGGGUGAGUAACGCGUGAAUGACAUGCCCUUGAGUGGGGGAUAGCCCAGGGAAACUUGGAUUAAUACCCCAUGGUAUCGCGAGAUUAAAGGCGGCGCAAGCUGUCGCUCAAGGAUUGGUUCGCGGCCUAUCAGCUAGUUGGCGGGGUAACGGCCCACCAAGGCGACGACGGGUACCUGGUCUGAGAGGACGAUCAGGCACACUGGAACUGAGACACGGUCCAGACACCUACGGGUGGCAGCAGUCGAGAAUAAUUCACAAUGGGGGCAACCCUGAUGGUGCAACGCCGCGUGGAGGAUGAAGGUCCUCGGAUUGUAAACUCCUGUCAUCCGGGAGUAAGACCUGGGAGUGAAUAGCUCACAGGGUUGAUAGUACCGGAAGAGGAAGGGACGGCUAACUUCGUGCCAGCAGCCGCGGUAAUACGAAGGUCCCGAGCGUUGUUCGGAAUCACUGGGCGUAAAGGGAGCGUAGGCGGCGUGGCAAGUCAGACGUGAAAUCCCGGGGCUCAACCCCGGAACUGCGUCCGAUACUGCCAUGCUUAGAGGGUUGGAGAGGUAGCUGGAAUUCUUGGUGUAGCAGUGAAGUGCGUGGAUAUCAAGAGGAACACUCGUGGCGAAAGCGAGCUACUGGACAACACCUGACGCUGAGGCUCGAAGGCCAGGGGAGCGAAAGGGAUUAGAUACCCCUGUAGUC